GGGGAAAAAUCAUGGUGUC
rnacentral:piRNA from 1 species